AUGUAUACAGUUCUGAGUAGGGUGGCCUUUUGUAGCAGACAGAUAGUAAUUUUGUCAGUGCCAAUUGUGUUUAAAUGCAGGCCAAGAUCUUUAGGCACUGCACCCAGUGUGCCGAUCACCACUGGGACAAUCUUUACUGGCUUAUGCCAGAGUCUGGUGGAGCCCGUGGGGAACCCAUCACAUCUCACUCCGCAUUGCCCACCUUGCUCCUCAGUCCUCACCACAUCCCAUGGGGGGAAACGUUUGCCACCUGGCUUCCCUUUGUUCUUGCCUAUGCAACACAGGAAGCUUGCCAUGCUGCUGCCAUGGCAACUUAACAUGCUUUCACUUCUCUUGCACCACAGAGCACAGCUGGAUGUAGAUCGAUGUGGGAUGAGAGCUAGCAGACUCCAUGCUACAAGUGAAGUGUCAUACAACAGGCAGUUUUGCCCAUCUGAUGAGGCCCUGACACACAACUCCAAAAGGAUACUCUUUCCGCCUUCAAUCCUGGCAGCACAUCUGAAACCAAGUUCUAGGAUUGAUACAGGGUGAGUAUCUCUUAUAUGAAAUGCUUGGGACCAGAAGUGUGUUGGAUUUCAGUUUUUUAGGAAUUUGGAAUGCUGCAUUUGAAUAUAUAUAUACAUAAUGAGAUAUCUUGUAGAUAAGAACCAAGUCUAAAUGCAGAAUUCAUUUAGCCAUGUUUCAUCACAUAAUAGUCUACUUUUUUGCCAUUUUUCCAUA
rnacentral:lncRNA from 1 species